rnacentral:rRNA from 1 species
UACGUAGGGUGCGAGCGUUGUCCGGAAUUAUUGGGCGUAAAGAGCUCGUAGGCGGUUUGUCACGUCGGUCGUGAAAACCUGGGGCUUAACUCUGGGCUUGCGGUCGAUACGGGCAUCACUUGAGUUCGGCAGGGGAGACUGGAAUUCCUGGUGUAGCGGUGAAAUGCGCAGAUAUCAGGAGGAACACCGGUGGCGAAGGCGGGUCUCUGGGCCGAUACUGACGCUGAGGAGCGAAAGCGUGGGGAGCGAACAGG